rnacentral:lncRNA from 1 species
AAAAAAGACAGGAAGAGAAAUAAUUUCUAAUGUUUACUCUCCUCAAUUCAGAUAAAAUUAUGGGAUUAUUUACAAAAUAAAAUGAUAAAGGACUCUGAACUCCUUGGGCCACAUCCAGCAGUUCUUUGUUUAUUUUAGUGGAAAGCAAAGCAGAGCCCUAGUGGUUGCCAUGGGAAACAGGCUCACUGACACCCUUUGUCCCUUGACUUUUGCGCUGAACUUUCAAUGUGCAUGGGUAAUAAAGCCAAGAGCCCAGCCUAGGGUUCAUGCAGCUCAUCAUGCCUGGGGUCUUCAGUCACACCAUUCCUCCUCAAUGCCCUGCCAGGGUGCCUAUGGUCACCUGUAGCCAUGUCACCUGAGGAAUCUUCCUGUCGUCAUCAUUCUCUCAUGAGAGCUUGCUUUGCUUGUCAUCUUCAUGGACACAAUAGUGCCUCAGCUCUGUGUCACCCACUACUGGUUCCACUCUUUAUUGUGCAUCCACAAGGACAGCGUGCCUCAAAGCCCUCAUUACUGUGUCCUUUUGCCAUGUUUAUCCCACUUUCCUCUAAUCACAGUGGAUGUCUUUGAAAAAAUAGUUCGCUGUCAGUGGCCUUGUCUCAUUAUCCACUUUUGAGUCUUGAAUGAGGCUUCUGCCUCCACCACUCCACUCAGUUGAUAAAGCAGUGGCAGGUUUUGAGAGGUUUGUCUCCAAUUUUGAAAGAAGUUCCUCUAUGGAAAAUAUGCUAGCAAACAGUAUUGCAUGCUACAGAGAAUUCUUUUUGUGAAAGGAAGAGUCAAUCAACAAAGCAAACUUCAUUGCUGUCUUACUUUAAGCAACUGCCACAGCCACUCCAACCUUCAGCAACAACCACCUUGAUCAGCAGCCCUCAAUAUUGAGGCAAGACCUUCCACAGCAAAAACACUACAACUCACAGAAAGCUCAGAUGAUUGUUUGCACUUUUUAGCAAUAAAGUAUCUUUAAAUUAAGGUAGGUACUUUUUUAGAUAUAAUGUUAUAGCAUUCAGUAUAAUACAUGACAAUUUAAAUAUAACUUUUAUAUGCACUGGGAAACAAAAAAUAUUGUUUGACUUAUUUUAUUGGUCUCAUACCAAACCCACAAUAUCUCAGGCAUAUCUAUAUAUUAUUGUUUCAAAUUUUGUGGUGGUACAAUUGUUUGGAUUUAGACAAGUGUAUGAUGCCACUUAUCUUCUAUUACAGUAUCAUGCAGAAUAUUUGCAUCUCUCUACAAAUCUCUUGUGCUUCACCUAUUCAUCCUUUCUUCCCUCCACCAAAACCCUGGCAACCACUAAUUUUUCUAAUGUCUUCACAGUUUUGCCUUUUCCAGAAUGUCAUAUAGUUGGAAUCAUGCAGUAUAUAGCUUUUUCACACUGGCGUAUUUCAUUUAGUAAUAUGCAUUCAAAUAUCCUUGAUAUCUUUCCAUGUCUAAUGGAAUAUUAUUGCUGAAUAGUAUUCCAUUGUCUGAGUAUACCACAAUUUGUCCACUUGCCUACUGAAGGAUAUGUUGGUUGCUUCCAAGUUUGGGCAAUUAUAAAUAAAGCUGCUAUAAACAUUAGAGUGCGGACUUUUGUGUGAACAUAAGUUUUCAGCUCAUUUGGAUAAAUACCAGGGAGCACUAUUGCUGGGUUUUAUGUUAAGUUUUGCAAGAAAUGGACACACUGUCUUCCAAAGUAGCUGUACCACUUUGCAGUUCCAUCAGCAGUGAAUAAGAAGUUUAUCCACAUCCUUACCAGACCUGGAUAUUGUUAGUAUCUUUGACUUUAGCCAUUCUGAUAGGUGUGUAAUGGUAUCUCAUUGUUGUUUUAAUUUGAGAUUCCCCAAUGACAUAUGAUGUUAAAUAUAUUUUCCCAUGCUACCCAAAUAUCUUUGGUGAAGUGUCUGUUCAAAUCUUUUGCCCAUAUUCUAACUGGGUUGUUUGUUUCCUUAUUGCUGAGUUUUAAGAGUUCCUUGUAUAUUUUGAAUAUAAGUGCUGGAUCAGAUAUGUGUUUUGCAAAUAUUAUCUCUUGGUCUGUGACUUAUCUUUUCAUUCUCUAAAUAGCAUCUUUGCAUAGCCUUUUUAAUUUUAAUAAAGUCAAGCUCAUCAAUUUUUCUUUCAGCAAUUGUUCUUUUGUGUCGUGUAUAAAAAGUCAUUGACAACCUAAGGUCACCUUGUUUUUCACCUAUUUUAUCUUCUUGAAGUUGUAUAGUUUAUAUUCAUAUAUUGUUUAUAUAUUUAUAUUAUAUAUACACACAAUUUAUUUUAGUUACUUUUGUGAAAAAUGUAAGGUCGGUGUCCAAUUUCUUUCUUUCAUUCUUUUUUUUUUCUUUUUAGAGAUGGGGGUCUUGCUGUGUUGCCCAGGAUGGUCUCAAAUUCCGGCCUCAGGCAGUCCUCCUGCCUUGACCUUCCAACAUGCUGGGAUUACAGUGAUGCCAGUGGAACAAUGGAGCAUGCUGAGGGCAGGGGAGACACAAGCAGUAUUCACGGUUACCGCCAGUCCUUACUCUGCCAUUUACAGUAUUUCUGCAAUGACUCAUGAGCACAGAAUUACAGCAGCCCCUCUAUGAGUGGUAGCCCAGGAGGUUCGAGAGGAGUGGAAAGAAAGUGCAUUAUAUCUAGGACUAAGUGAGAGUAUUGCAGCCUCCAGAGACUACACUUUUCAAAUGAACCAAAACUUGCACCAGAUGUGGAAAGAAAGCAAUCAAAUUCUAAGACACAAGAAUAACUAAGGGACCUAAUGAUCUCUUACUCACUGUGUUACCUCUAGCUGGCCCUUUUCACUUAAAAUGGUAACAUAGAAAGAAAGGAAAAGAUAGGGCCACUAAUAUUAAUAGUUCCUUUUCUUUCAGUCCUUUCUUACUCAUCAAUUAUCCAAAAGUAAAGAGUGUUGGUAGAAUGUGCAUGUAUCAAGAUGUGAAAAAAAUAGUUUACUUAUUUUUGUGUAGUAUUUCUACUGUUCUGAUGUGAAUAAAAUACAUAGGCAUUAUGAGCUAUGAAAUAGGAAUUGUGUCAUUUCAGUGAUUCUAUGUAUCAGUUAAAGGCUCUUACAUUAGCAUUUAAAAUAGUUCCACAAUAUGAUAAUAUUCAUGCUAAUAAUUUAAAAAUUUAUUUAUUCUUCACUUAGAAGGACAUUAACUAAAUAUGAGAUCAAAAGACAGUCUGUAAAGAAAGAAAAAAGCUUUAUAUUUUGAUAGCCUCAAUGACAUUCUUUUCCUACUUCUUAAAUAAGAGGCCCCAUAUUUUCAUUUUGCACAGGGCCCUGCAAUUUAUGUAGCCAACCCUGCCUUUGGUGUUUCUAAUGCCUCCUGUGUACAUAGUGCUUAGGGAUAUUUGGGGCCUUUUUUUGCUAUUAAUCAUGAAAGCACUGAAAGGUCUCAUGCAAGAAAGACAUAUAUAUAUAUAUAUAUAUGUUUUUCUAUAUAUGUGAUUUUAUACACACACACACACAUAUAUAUAUACACAUAUAUACACAGACAUACAAAUACAUAUAUGCAAAUCACACAGGCAUCAGUGUGAAGAAUGAGUUGGAUUUAAAGCUCUUUUUCACGUAUCAAGUGAUAAACUGUAGAUUCUGAGUAAGCUGAGAUCACAUAACAACCCCUCAGAACAAAAACACAACAACUAAAACAAUGACAACCUUGUACUUUUGCAUUUCAUUCAUGUCUUAGAGAGUACAGUUUAUGAACCCAUAAUUUCAUCUCACUCUAGGGAAAACCUAAUGAUAUGUUUUCUGAAUAAGAAACUGAGUUGAAAAGAGAUUUUUUUUCAAGUAUCAGCAAGUCAGCAAGUGCUAGCAAUGAAUUGUGAACCCAGGUGUGCCAGCAACUGAAUAGUUUGCCCCAAGCACCAUUCCUAUGGAUUAUCUCCAUAUGAAAGAUCACAAAAUCACUGUGUCUCCACAAAUCCUUUUCACACUGUCGGAGGACAGUGGCCACAUGCUGUAACGCUUGCACUAAAGCCACAGCAAUUUCUCCUUUACUUUUUCCACAAAAAGUCCACAACCAGCUCCUUAGACUAUUAAAUAUAUUGUAACACAUUCAUAUGGAGUAAUAUUUUGUGAUCUUUCAAAACAGAGAGACAGAGCUGUGCAGAUACCCCUUGUUUUAUUGCACUUAGCAAAUGUUGCAUUUUUCACAAAUUGAAGGUUUGGGCCAAACCUGCAUCAAACAAGUCUAUCAGUGCCAUUUUAACAACAGCAUGUGUUCACUUUGUGUCUCUGAGCCACAUUUUAGUAAUUCUCAUACUAUUUCAGGCUUUUUCAUUAUUAUAUCUGUUAUGGUGGUUUGUGAUCAGUGAUCUCUAAUGUUAUAAUUGUAAUUGUUUUGGGGUACCACAAGCCAUGCCCACAUAAGAUAGCCACCUUAAUUGAUAACUGUUGUGUGUGUUUGAGUUGCUCUACCCAGUGGCCAUUCCCCAUCUCUAUCUCUCUCCAUGGGCUUCCCUCUUCCCUGACAGAAAACAAUAUGGAGAUUCAGCCAACUAAUAACCUUCUAAUGGCCUUGAAGUGUUUCAGUGACAGGAGGAGUUGCAUGUCUCUCACUUUAAAUCAAAAGCUAG